rnacentral:rRNA from 1 species
GNNUNNCNNNNNGGUGAACCNGCGGAGGGAUCAUUACCGAGUUAUACAACUCAUCAACCCUGUGAACAUACCUAAAACGUUGCUUCGGCGGGAACAGACGGCCCUGUAACAACGGGCCGCCCCCGCCAGAGGACCCCUAACUCUGUUUUUAUAAUGUUUUUCUGAGUAAACAAGCAAAUAAAUUAAAACUUUCAACAACGGAUCUCUUGGCUCUGGCAUCGAUGAAGAACGCAGCGAAAUGCGAUAAGUAAUGUGAAUUGCAGAAUUCAGUGAAUCAUCGAAUCUUUGAACGCACAUUGCGCCCGCCAGUAUUCUGGCGGGCAUGCCUGUUCGAGCGUCAUUACAACCCUCAGGCCCCCGGGCCUGGCGUUGGGGAUCGGCGGAAGCCCCCUGUGGGCACACGCCGUCCCUCAAAUACAGUGGCGGUCCCGCCGCAGCUUCCAUUGCGUAGUAGCUAACACCUCGCAACUGGAGAGCGGCGCGGCCAUGCCGUAAAACACCCAACUUCUGAAUGUUGACCUCGAAUCAGGUAGGAAUACCCGCUGAACUUAAGCAUAUCAAUAAGCGGAGGA